UACGAACCGUGCGACCGUUGUUCGGAAUCACUGGGCUUAAAGGGCGCGUAGGCGGCCCGCGAGGUCGGGGGUGAAAUCCCACAGCUUAACUGUGGAAGCGCCUCCGAUACCGGCGGGCUCGAGGAAGGUAGGGGUGCGCGGAACUUCUGGUGGAGCGGUGGAAUGCGUAGAGAUCGGGAAGAACAUCGGUGGCGAAGGCGGCCUGCUGGGCUGUUGCUGACGCUGAGGAGCGAAAGCGUGGGGAGCGAACAGG
rnacentral:rRNA from 1 species